rnacentral:rRNA from 1 species
UACGUAGGGUGCGAGCGUUGUCCGGAAUUAUUGGGCGUAAAGGGCUCGUAGGCGGUUUGUCGCGUCGGGAGUGAAAUCCACUGGCUUAACUGGUGGCUUGCUUUCGAUACGGGCAGACUGGAGGUAUGCAGGGGAGAACGGAAUUCCUGGUGUAGCGGUGAAAUGCGCAGAUAUCAGGAGGAACACCGGUGGCGAAGGUGGUUCUCUGGGCAUGUCCUGACGCUGAGGGGCGAAAGUGUGGGGAGCGAACAGG